ensembl:lncRNA
AGGAUGUUGUCUAUAUCGAUGCGGUUACAAAAACCGAACAGUUGGAUAGACAAAUAAUUUGUGAAGCCAUGGUGUGAUGUAUGACAGGAUUGGAAUCUUGUUUGAGCUUCGUGUAUCAGCACAUUUGCUUGAGAUGAUCUCACUGCAGCGUUGCAUCCAAGUUGCCGUCAAUCAAGGUCUGAAGAAGACAGGUUGAAAGAUUGAAAACGGCGGCAAAAACAAAGCACACUACAGGAUGAUGUAGAUGACUCCCCCCUCCCCCCAAGAAGUCACAGCAGGUCACAUCAGCAUCCAGCUUUGCAAGAGCAGACCAUACUAAAAAUGAAAUGCACGGCGAACUGGGAGCUGUGAACUGGUGCAAUUGGGAUGGACGGGGAAGACCGCAUUUACAACCCUUAAAUAACUACGGUUGUAUGAUGGCCUGGAUGAAUAGGAAAAUAUUCUCCUCAAGGAACUGACCGUCUUUGCCUCUUUUGAGGAGCAGGAGUGAAGCUAUUUUUGAGGAGUGGUCAAACCUUGUUUUUGUCUGCUGUGUUAAUUGUUUCAAUUGUUAAUUGUGUUAUUUAGUAAAGAUGACGUAGCAGUCACCCGAGUCUCUGGUCUCUUUACUGGAGCUGGUAUAACUGUCUAUAUGGUAUAGUCUGUUUCCAUUCUCAUGAGGAAAGUAAAUAGCAUUAUAAAUCAGGAUAGGUAGUAAGUGUGUGUGUGUAUGUGUGU